rnacentral:rRNA from 1 species
AACGAACGCUGGCGGCAUGCCUAACACAUGCAAGUCGAACGAGACCUUCGGGUCUAGUGGCGCACGGGUGCGUAACGCGUGGGAACCUUCCCUUAGGGUCGGAAUAACUCCCCGAAAGGGGUGCUAAUACCGGAUAAUGUCUUCGGACCAAAGAUUUAUCGCCUUUGGAUGGGCCCGAGUUGGAUUAGCUAGUUGGUAGGGUAAAAGCCUACCAAGGCGACGAUCCAUAGCUGGUCUGAGAGGAUGAUCAGCCACACUGGGACUGAGACACGGCCCAGACUCCUACGGGAGGCAGCAGUGGGGAAUAUUGGACAAUGGGCGAAAGCCUGAUCCAGCAAUGCCGCGUGAGUGAUGAAGGCCUUAGGGUUGUAAAGCUCUUUUACCCGGGAUGAUAAUGACAGUACCGGGAGAAUAAGCUACGGCUAACUCCGUG